rnacentral:antisense_RNA from 1 species
CUCUAUGGGUGGCUCGUGUGGGGGAGCCUUCGGGCUCGCCGGUCCAGACCCGGUACGCCAACCUCACACGAGACCGCCCGCCCGA